UCACUAUGAGAACCAAGUGAAGUUUAGGAAUGGUUAGUUAGAAAUCUAAGUGCUGGUUAGAAGGAGAUAAGAGAUAUAUAAGAGUUUGAAAUGAUGGUUUUCUAUCCUCUUGCUGCCCACCGAACACUUGUGUAAUCCCCAACCUUUGAUCAAUGGUGACUCAAACCGAUCUUGGCCUCUCAAUAGUGUAUAAAUAUAGGUGCAGCUCCCCUCUUCAAUUUCACGCAUUUCUCUCUCGGUUUCUCUCCUUCUUCUUCCCUGCUUUGUAGUGCAGCAGCUCCCUCUGCUCUUCUCUUUUGUUCUCUCCUCUGGACAGCAAACUAAUGCUACUCUUGGGGAAGACAAUUGGAAGAAAAGAAGAAGCAAAAUCCCUCUCCGUUUCAGUUUUACAGUAGCAAAACAAAGAAAAUCAGAACCCAGUCUCUUCUCUUCUCAGUUUCUGUCACGGCAAAGAACUCUCUCUCUCCCCUGCUGUUCUUCACGUUUUGCAGAGGAUCCUCACGUGGUAUGGGAUUGCGGUGUUAACCACAACCACAUACGAGUUUUUGCAGGAUGGAAGGAACGAUACAACUAAUAGCAUUUAUGUUUAAGGCUAAGACUUUUAAUAUGUAAUAUUUGAUAUGUAGGAUAAAACAAUGGUUACUUAUUAAGUGCCGCAUGUAGCAUAUAUGUUAGUGCUUUGAGUGUAUUUAUGGUAUUAGAACUUAUGGUUCAUGUUUUAAUAUAAUGAGGUAAUUCAGUCAA